rnacentral:rRNA from 1 species
UACAGAGGGUGCGAGCGUUAAUCGGAAUUACUGGGCGUAAAGCGCGCGUAGGCGGCUUUGCAAGUCGGGUGUGAAAUCCCCAGGCUUAACCUGGGAACCGCAUUCGAGACUGCAUUGCUAGAGUAUGGGAGAGGGAAGUGGAAUUUCCGGUGUAGCGGUGAAAUGCGUAGAUAUCGGAAGGAACAUCAGUGGCGAAAGCGACUUCCUGGACCAAUACUGACGCUCAUGUGCGAAAGCGUGGGGAGCAAACAGG